GUUAAAAUGGCUCAGUCGGUAGGGCAUGAGACUCUUAAUAUCAGGGUUGUGGGUUUGAGCCUCAUGUUACGCAAACG